rnacentral:rRNA from 1 species
GAUGAACGCUGGCGGCGUGCCUAAUACAUGCAAGUCGAGCGAACAGAUAAGGAGCUUGCUCCUUUGACGUUAGCGGCGGACGGGUGAGUAACACGUGGGUAACCUACCUAUAAGACUGGGAUAACUUCGGGAAACCGGAGCUAAUACCGGAUAACAUUUGGAACCGCAUGGCUCUAAAGUGAAAGAUGGUUUUGCUAUCACUUAUAGAUGGACCCGCGCCGUAUUAGCUAGUUGGUAAGGUAACGGCUUACCAAGGCGACGAUACGUAGCCGACCUGAGAGGGUGAUCGGCCACACUGGAACUGAGACACGGUCCAGACUCCUACGGGAGGCAGCAGUAGGGAAUCUUCCGCAAUGGGCGAAAGCCUGACGGAGCAACGCCGCGUGAGUGAUGAAGGGUUUCGGCUCGUAAAACUCUGUUAUUAGGGAAGAACAAACGUGUAAGUAACUGUGCACGUCUUGACGGUACCUAAUCAGAAAGCCACGGCUAACUACGUG